UAGCGGCGAACGGGUGAGUAACACGUGGGCAACCUGCCCUCAGCUCUGGGAUAACUCCAAGAAAUUGGUGCUAAUACCGGAUGUGACCGCUGACCGCAUGGUCUGGUGGUGGAAAGAUUUAUCGGCUGAGGAUGGGCCCGCGGCCUAUCAGCUUGUUGGUGGGGUGAUGGCCUACCAAGGCGACGACGGGUAGCCGGCCUGAGAGGGUGACCGGCCACACUGGGACUGAGACACGGCCCAGACUCCUACGGGAGGCAGCAGUGGGGAAUAUUGCGCAAUGGGCGAAAGCCUGACGCAGCGACGCCGCGUGAGGGAUGACGGCCUUCGGGUUGUAAACCUCUUUCAGCAGGGACGAAGCGAAAGUGACGGUACCUGCAGAAGAAGCACCGGCCAACUACGUGCCAGCAGCCGCGGUAAUACGUAGGGUGCAAGCGUUGUCCGGAAUUAUUGGGCGUAAAGAGCUCGUAGGCGGUCUGUCGCGUCGGCUGUGAAAACCCGAGGCUCAACCUCGGGCCUGCAGUCGAUACGGGCAAACUUGAGUGUUGCAGGGGAGACUGGAAUUCCUGGUGUAGCGGUGAAAUGCGCAGAUAUCAGGAGGAACACCGGUGGCGAAGGCGGGUCUCUGGGCAACAACUGACGCU
rnacentral:rRNA from 1 species